AGUCGGAGCGGAACGAGAGAAAGCUUGCUUUCUCGGCGUCGAGCGGCGGACGGGUGAGUAAAGUCUGGGAAAUUGCCCUGAUGUGGGGGAUAACCAUUGGAAACGAUGGCUAAUACCGCAUGAUGUCUACGGACCAAAGAGGGGGACCUUCGGGCCUCUCGCGUCAGGAUAUGCCCAGAUGGGAUUAGCUAGUUGGUGAGGUAAUGGCUCACCAAGGCGACGAUCCCUAGCUGGUCUGAGAGGAUGAUCAGCCACACUGGAACUGAGACACGGUCCAGACUCCUACGGGAGGCAGCAGUGGGGAAUAUUGCACAAUGGGCGCAAGCCUGAUGCAGCCAUGCCGCGUGUAUGAAGAAGGCCUUCGGGUUGUAAAGUACUUUCAGCAGUGAGGAAGGGAGUAGUUUUAAUAGAGCUGCUUUUUGACGUUAGCUGCAGAAGAAGCACCGGCUAACUCCGUGCCAGCAGCCGCGGUAAUACGGAGGGUGCGAGCGUUAAUCGGAAUUACUGGGCGUAAAGCGCAUGCAGGUGGUCUGUUAAGUCAGAUGUGAAAGCCCGGGGCUUAACCCCGGAGUUGCAUUUGAAACUGGCAGGCUAGAGUACUGUAGAGGGGGGUAGAAUUUCAGGUGUAGCGGUGAAAUGCGUAGAGAUCUGAAGGAAUACCGGUGGCGAAGGCGGCCCCCUGGACAGAUACUGACACUCAGAUGCGAAAGCGUGGGGAGCAAACAGGAUUAGAUACCCUGGUAGUCCACGCCGUAAACGAUGUCUACUUGGAGGUUGUGACCUAGAGUCGUGGCUUUCGGAGCUAACGCGUUAAGUAGACCGCCUGGGGAGUACGGUCGCAAGAUUAAAACUCAAAUGAAUUGACGGGGGCCCGCACAAGCGGUGGAGCAUGUGGUUUAAUUCGAUGCAACGCGAAGAACCUUACCUACUCUUGACAUCCAGAGAAGCCGGAGGAGAUUCUGGUGUGCCUUUCGGGAGCUCUGAGACAGGUGCUGCAUGGCUGUCGUCAGCUCGUGUUGUGAAUGUUUGGGUUAGUCCCGCAACGAGCGCCAACCCUUAUCCUGAUGGCAGCACUUCGGUGGGUACUUCAGGGAGAACUGGCGGUGAAUAACCGGGAAGUAGUGGGACGACGUCAGUUCAUCAUGGCUACGAGUUAGCUCACACUGUCUAUACACAUGUGGCCCGUUAUAUC
rnacentral:rRNA from 1 species